CCUACGGGUGGCAGCAGUGAGGAAUAUUGGUCAAUGGGCGCGAGCCUGAUCCAGCCAAGUAGCGUGAAGGAUGACUGCCCUACGGGUUGUAAGUUUUUUUUAUAAAGGAAUAAAGUGAGGCAUGUGUGCCUUUUCGCAUGUACUUUAUGAAUAAGGAUCGGCUAACUCCGUGCCAGCAGCCGCGGUAAUACGGAGGAUCCGAGCGUUAUCCGGAUUUAUUGGGUUUAAAGGGAGCGUAGAUGGGUUGUUAAGUCAGUUGUGAAAGUUUGCGGCUCAACCGUAAAAUUGCAAUUGAUACUGGCAAGCUUGAGGACAGUUGAGGUAGGCAGAAUUCGUGGUGUAGCGGUGAAAUGCGUAGAUAUCACGAAGAACUCCGAUUGCGAAGGCAGCUUACUAAACUGCCACUGACAUUGAUGCUCGAAAGUGUGGGUAUCAAACAGGAUUAGAUACCCGGGUAGUC
rnacentral:rRNA from 1 species